rnacentral:rRNA from 1 species
AUUGAACGCUGGCGGCAUGCCUUACACAUGCAAGUCGAACGGAAGCGCGGGCUUCGGCCUGGCGGCGCGUGGCGGACGGGCGGGUAAUGCAUCGGAACGUGCCCAGCAGUGGGGGAUAGCCCGGCGAAAGCCGGACUAAUAUCGCAUCCGAACUGAGGGUGAAAGCGGGGGAUCGAAAGGCCACGCGCUAUUUGAUCGGCCGAAGUCGGAUUAGCUAGUUGGUGUGGUAAAGGCUUACCAAGGCGACGAUCCGUAGCCGGUCUGAGAGGCCGACCAGCCACACUGGAACUGAGACACGGUCCAGACUCCUACGGGAGGCAGCAGUAGGGAAUUUUCGACAAUGGGGGAAAGCCUGAUCCAGCAAUGCCGCGUGAGUGAAGAAGGUCUUCGGAUUGUAAACCGCUUUUAUUCGGGAAGAAAACAUGUGUACUAAUACCCCGGCGUGAUGACGGUACCGGAUGAAUAAGCACCGGCUAACUACGUG